AUUGAACGCUGGCGGCAUGCUUUACACAUGCAAGUCGAACGGCAGCACAGGGAGCUUGCUCCCGGGUGGCGAGUGGCGCACGGGUGAGUAAUACAUCGGAACGUGUCCUGUUGUGGGGGAUAACUGCUCGAAAGGGUGGCUAAUACCGCAUGAGACCUGAGGGUGAAAGCGGGGGAUCGCAAGACCUCGCGCAAUUGGAGCGGCCGAUGCCCGAUUAGCUAGUUGGUGAGGUAAAGGCUCACCAAGGCGACGAUCGGUAGCUGGUCUGAGAGGACGACCAGCCACACUGGGACUGAGACACGGCCCAGACUCCUACGGGAGGCAGCAGUGGGGAAUUUUGGACAAUGGGGGCAACCCUGAUCCAGCCAUGCCGCGUGCAGGAUGAAGGCCUUCGGGUUGUAAACUGCUUUGUCAGGGACGAAAAGGACCGUGUUAAUACCAUGGUCUGCUGACGGUACCUGAAGAAUAAGCACCGGCUAACUCCGU
rnacentral:rRNA from 1 species